rnacentral:rRNA from 1 species
UACGUAGGGUGCAAGCGUUGUCCGGAAUUAUUGGGCGUAAAGAGCUCGUAAGCGGUCUGUCGCGUCGGCUGUGAAAACCCGAGGCUCAACCUCGGGCCUGCAGUCGAUACGGGCAAACUAGAGUACUGCAGGGGAGACUGGAAUUCCUGGUAUAGCGGUGAAAUGCGCAGAUAUCAGGAGGAACACCGGUGGCGAAGGCGGGUCUCUGGGCAGUAACUGACGCUGAGGAGCAAAAGCGUGGGGAGCGAACAGG